AUGAAUGGACGGUCAAACAUGAUCCCAAAGAAGCCGAGGCCAACUUGCUACAAUCGUUGCUUCCACUUUAUUCUCCUAGAGAUUAAGCUUGAGCAGGGAGUAGUAACCGUCUUAGACUCGAGACGAAAAGAUCCCCAGGACUAUGCGAACAUGACUCAAAUGCUCGAGAAGGUUUGGAGAAAAUUCACCUCAAAAGCUCCGGGACUGCCGAAGAAGCUGCAAUUUUUGUGGCAGGAACCUGGGAAUAAUUACUGUGGAUACUACGUUUGCGAGUCCAUCCGCUACACGACCUGUGAGCGGGGCUACACUGAAAAACAAUAUGAAAUGUUUCGGAAGCGGGAUGAACUCCUAGCAGAAGAUCGUAUGCGAGGAAUUCAAGAGGAAUUGGCGGCAUUCUUCCUUGACCACGUGAUCGCUGAAAACGGAGAAUACUAUGUGGACCCUGUGUUCCUACAAUUUAAUUAG
rnacentral:rRNA from 1 species